rnacentral:rRNA from 1 species
AACGAACGCUGGCGGCAUGCCUAACACAUGCAAGUCGAACGAAGUCUUCGGACUUAGUGGCGCACGGGUGCGUAACGCGUGGGAAUCUGCCCUUGGGUGCGGAAUAACUUCUCGAAAGGGAUGCUAAUACCGCAUAAUGUCGUAAGACCAAAGAUUUAUCGCCCAAGGAUGAGCCCGCGUAAGAUUAGCUAGUUGGUGGGGUAAAAGCCUACCAAGGCGACGAUCUUUAGCUGGUCUGAGAGGAUGAUCAGCCACACUGGGACUGAGACACGGCCCAGACUCCUACGGGAGGCAGCAGUGGGGAAUAUUGGACAAUGGGCGAAAGCCUGAUCCAGCAAUGCCGCGUGAGUGAUGAAGGCCCUAGGGUUGUAAAGCUCUUUUACCAGGGAUGAUAAUGACAGUACCUGGAGAAUAAGCUCCGGCUAACUCCGUGCCAGCAG